UCAGAUGAUAUGACGGAUGAGACUAGAUUUUCUGGCAGAGUCCAGAGUCUUCUGAAACUUCGCUUAGGAUGCCAGGGCAGCGCUAGACAAAGAAUAGCUGUCAUUCUCCCUGGGCAGAGGUAACAGAGGAUGGGGAUUUCCAGCCACUGCGGAAAGUAUCCGAAUGUUGUCACCGGCUGCUACUGUUGGUCACCGCACCCCAACAACCAGGUAGUUUCCAACUUCUGCUGCAAGUCGCCGUCUGGUGUGACCUUCGUCGCCCCAGCAGGCCAUGGAGGAACAAGGAGGACAGUGGCCCAGAAAUGAAAGAACAAGUGCUUAGAUAUGGACGUAGGUGCUGAGCCUACGAGCCCGAGGUGGAGAAAGUUGGCCAAUGAUACGACAUUAACGGAAAUGCGAUGCUGUUUGGUAGCACUCUGAAUUUUGGUCCUCGAAGCAGUUUCUAAGAGUUGACUCCGGCAUUCCAUGAGAGCGAGAAGUACAAAGGGGAGUCAAUGGGAGAGUGUUUCCUGUCUAUACACCGCAGUGAAGACACUGGGAUUGUUUGCUCAAGAUCUGUGGAAAGUAGCUGGUCCUUUGGGAUUGGAGCAACCUGAAUAUUUUGUGAUCUUCGGUGGAUCUAUCUUUAAGACAAGAUUGCCUGCAUGAUGGUGAAAGCCAUACCAUUGAGUCACUUAGCUACAAAUGUAGCUUUAUGGAAAGUAAUGUGCAACUAAGUGGCUGCAGUGAGGAAUCCAGAUGGGAAUGGGUUGUUGUCACCCUCAUCUUUAAUACUCAUGUAUGCUAUGAAUGGACAUUUCAAAGGAGUGCACAGCUGGUGCCUGGAGCGAAAUGCUGAAAGAGGAUUGGCUGGGGCAAGGGAUUCUUGUCGCCCAGACGCACCUGUCUGCCACAUCGCCACCUCCUCCCGGGAGCCGGUUUCCAGCAGGAGGAGCCUAUCAAGGAUCCUACAAGCGCAAAUCACACAACAGGCUGCAGCCUGCAUUUCCCUUGGGGUCUUGCCAGCAUCGCGGCACAGGAUCCCAGUGGAUGGUGACAGGGGGAGACUGAAUGAUCUGCUCUGUGCUAGGAUAGGAAGGAGUCGGGAGGCCACCCUGGAUCACAGGGAAAAAGCAAACCCACUGAAGCAGGCGGUGUAGCCUUGUGAGCAAACAGCAGACUGCCAGUUCUGUCAGUACUUGCUCUGCAGAGACGGAGCUCUCUGUCCUUGCUUGGGCAGCUCAUCCAGGUGAGAUGGAAUCUGGUCAACACGGUGAAUAUAGCCGAACCACUGGACAAUUGUGGUCAUAAUGUAAUUAAAGUGGACACCCUUGUAGGGGAGCUGAACGAAAAUUAGGAGACUGGUUAAAAGGAAAAGAAAAG